rnacentral:pre_miRNA from 1 species
CAGGAUGACCAACUAUCCUGGUUUGCCUGGGACUGAGGGGGUUCCCAGGAUGUAGACUUCCAGUUUUAAAACCAGGACAGUUCCAGGCAGACCAGGACAAGCUGGUCACCCUAUAUGGCA